rnacentral:lncRNA from 1 species
CUUCAGUCACCAGGUGAGUGGGAUAAUUCCCUAAGUUUUUAAGUAAGGUAAUUGAAUGAAUAAAUGAACAAAUGAAUGAAUCUGAAAGCAUACUCAUGCAUCAUUAAUGCCAUGCAAUGUUCCAGGAUGUUUGCAUUAGAAAUUCACGAAUAUGUUGCAUUGCAUAAUUUGAUGUUGAUGUGGAUGGUUGUUGGGUGAUCCAUAGUCCUCUGAUGUUAUGUUAUGUUAUGUUAUGUAAGAGAAAGACCAGCGAGGCCCAUUCUACGCCCCUGGCACUU